rnacentral:rRNA from 1 species
CAGCAGCCACGGGAACACGAAGGGUGCAAGCGUUAAUCGGAAUUACUGGGCGUAAAGCGUGCGUAGGCGGUGAGUUAAGUCUGCUGUGAAAUCCCCGGGCUCAACCUGGGAAUUGCAGUGGAUACUGGGUCACUAGAGUGUGGUAGAGGAUAGUGGAAUUUCCGGUGUAGCAGUGAGAUGCGUAGAGAUCGGAAGGAACAUCUGUGGCGAAGGCGACUAUCUGGGCCAACACUGACACUCAUGCACGAAAGCGUGGGGAGCAAACAGGAUUAGAUACCCCAGUAGUCCCUGUCUCUUAUAC